rnacentral:rRNA from 1 species
GACGAACUGUGCAAACGUUAUUCGGAAUUACUGGGCGUAAAGCGUGCGCAGGCGGUGGCUCAAGCCAGGCGUGAAAUCCCCGGGCUUAACCUGGGAAUGGCGUUUGGGACUGGGUCGCUAGAGUGUGGCAGAGGGAGGUGGAAUUCCACGUGUAGCAGUGAAAUGCGUAGAGAUGUGGAGGAACACCGAUGGCGAAGGCAGCCUCCUGGGCCAGCACUGACGCUCAUGCACGAAAGCGUGGGGAGCAAACAGG